rnacentral:rRNA from 1 species
CCUACGGGGGGCUGCAGUGGGGAAUAUUGCACAAUGGGGGAAACCCUGAUGCAGCAACGCCGCGUGAGUGAUGAAGGUUUUCGGAUCGUAAAGCUCUGUCUUUGGGGAAGAUAAUGACGGUACCCAAGGAGGAAGCCACGGCUAACUACGUGCCAGCAGCCGCGGUAAUACGUAGGUGGCGAGCGUUAUCCGGAUUUACUGGGCGUAAAGGGAGCGUAGGCGGAUGAUUAAGUGGGAUGUGAAAUACCCGGGCUCAACUUGGGUGCUGCAUUCCA